AUGACUUAUUCUGUUCCUAAUCACCCUCCUGAUUUGUGUAGUUUCUGAGUGAUGGUCAACGAGACGUUUCUAGCAGAGUUUAUAAAGGAAGUGAGUCUUCAAUAUAAAGGUUUUCAAGAUCUGUGAAGAAAAAUGUGAUAGAACAGGAUGCGACUGGAUCCUCAACUUUUCAUCGCUUGAAAGGGAGAGUCACCUUAUUAGGUCUGGUAAUAGGAAUGAACCUGAGAUGACUAGUGCUACAUCAACUUCACUUCCUUCCAGGGAAAGGAUAAUAAAUUGUAACAACAAGAAAAAAAUAUACAACAAUGACGUUGGAGAAUGACUUCCUUUGGCUUUACAGUGGAUCAGUGGACAGCGUGCAAAAGGAAGUUAGAAAAUACUCUUUACUUCUUAGCUGUUUCAAAUAAGGCAUUUGUUCAAAAUAACAGAGGGUGGAUGGACAAGUUCUGCAAAGUUCAGUCAUCCUCUGCCGUCACGGAGUGCCGCUGUCCUGGAAGUACACUGUCAAUGAGUGAGAUUUCUAGGAAAGUGACUGCUGGUCAUUCCCAAGUUGUUACUGCUGUCUGCGCAAGUCAAUACUGCUUUACUGAGUCAGAAGGGAGCACCAUUAGUAUGAAGAUAUUCCUGGAAACUGGCAGCGAGACCAAGGAACCUCUGAGCUUACUACUCAGUGGGGUGGUACACAUACUGACAACACUGAAAAGGCUGAGGUGCUUGAUGAUACUGCCAUGGAUUCUUCCAGGAACGUAA
rnacentral:lncRNA from 1 species